rnacentral:rRNA from 1 species
AUGGCGGUGAGGCGGCGGCUAUGGCGCAUGGGCGGCAGGGUGCUGGACUGCUUCGCCGCGUGCGUGGGCGCCGGCGCCGGUUGCGGCUGCCUGUGCGCGCGCACGCUGGGAGACGAGGUGGAGGAGAGGAAGGCCCUGGUGACCGGGAGCAGCCAGGUGGUGAGGCUCAGCGACCUUGUCGUCGAGGGCACGUCGUCGUCCAGGACGCUGGGCUUCCAUCUGCAGCCCAAGACGGUGGAGCUGAGGGUGUCCAUGCACUGCUACGGCUGCGCCAAGAAAGUUCACAAGCACAUCUCCAAGAUGGAAGGGGUGACGUGGUUCGAGGUGGAUCUGGAGCGCAAGAAGGUGGUGGUGACCGGCGACGUGACGCCGCUGGAGGUGCUGCAGAGCGUCUCCAAGGUCAAGCUCGCCCAGCUCUGGAUGCCACCACAACCAUGCUAA